AUGAAAACUCAGGUCGAGAUGCUGAAACCGGCGACUUUGGACGCAGCUAUGGACUUAGCAAUCUCCUUUGAGCACCUCAAUACUGUCACCAGCACCGCGACCACUCUGGGUCGGCCCAGCCGUCCACUCCGCCCCAUGGCUGCACCUACUCCGGCCUUGCCGGACUCCUCCAACCCCACGCCCGCGCUCGUCUUUAAACAACUCACGCCCGCCGAGAUGGAUGAACGGCGCGCUAAGGGUCUCUGCUUCAAUUGUGACGAGAAGUUCGCGCGGGGCCAUCGCUGCAAACGAUUGUUCUAUAUUCAAUCCGCCAACGCCGAAGAGGAGCAGUUUGAGGAUUUUUAG
rnacentral:rRNA from 1 species